rnacentral:rRNA from 1 species
GAGUUUGAUCCUGGCUCAGAACGAACGCUGGCGGCAGGCUUAACACAUGCAAGUCGAACGCCCCGCAAGGGGAGUGGCAGACGGGUGAGUAACACGUGGGAACAUACCCUUCGGUUCGGAACAACGUUUGGAAACGGACGCUAAUACCGGAUACGCCCUAUUGGGGAAAGGCUUGCUGCCGAAGGAUUGGCCCGCGUUCGAUUAGCUAGAUGGCGGGGUAAUGGCCCACCAUGGCGACGAUCGAUAGCUGGUCUGAGAGGAUGGCCAGCCACAUUGGGACUGAGACACGGCCCAAACUCCUACAGGAGGCAGCAGUGGGGAAUAUUGGACAAUGGGCGCAAGCCUGAUCCAGCCAUGCCGCGUGAGUGAUGACGGCCUUAGGGUUGUAAAGCUCUUUCGCACGCGACGAUAAUGACGGUAGCGUGAGAAGAAGCCCCGGCUAACUUCGUGCCAGCAGCCGCGGUAAUACG